rnacentral:rRNA from 1 species
UACGUAGGGGGCUAGCGUUGUCCGGAAUCAUUGGGCGUAAAGCGCGUGUAGGCGGUCCGGUAAGUCCGCUGUGAAAGUCGAGGGCUCAACCCUCGAAUGCCGGUGGAUACUGUCGGGCUAGAGUACGGAAGAGGCGAGUGGAAUUCCUGGUGUAGCGGUGAAAUGCGCAGAUAUCAGGAGGAACACCAAUUGCGAAGGCAGCUCGCUGGGACGUCACUGACGCUGAGACGCGAAAGCGUGGGGAGCAAACAGG